rnacentral:lncRNA from 1 species
CGUCACCAGCCGCCUCCCGGGACAAGUAACCGGGAACAGGCCGGGCUGGAACAGCCUAUCCUGGAUUACUUGAACCGGGCCGCGACCCCCGUUACCCCCAUCUCCCUCCGUUCCCAGCCGCUGUCACCGCCCGUUAACGGGGUCCCGGGGUGGGGGGGUGUCCCCGGACCUCCCCGUUCCACCGACAGCGCCUCCGAGACCGGCGGGGGGAGGAGGGGGGAGGCGUCCGGUAGUGGGGGGUGCAUCAACAGGAGGGUGACGGGAGCGGGACACCGAGUGGGACACCGGACGGGGAUACCGAGCGGGAUACCGAGGGGGGGCACCGAGCGGGACACCGAGCGGGGACACCGAGCGGGACACCGAGCGGGGACACCGGGCGGGGAUACCGACCGGGACACCGAGAGGGGACACCGAGCGGGGACACCGAGCGGGACACCGGGCGGGGACACCGAGCGGGGAUACCGAGGGGGGGCACCGAGCGGGACACCGGACGGGGACACCGAGCGGGACACCGGGCGGGGACACCGAGCGGGGACACCGGGCGGGGACACCGAGCGGGGGCACCGGACGGGGGCACCGGACGGGGACACCGGGCGGGGACACCGAGCGGGGACACCGAGCGGGAUACCGAGCGGGGACACCGAGCGGGGGCACCGAGCGGGGGCACCGAGCGGGACACCGGGCGGGGACACCGAGCGGGACACCGAGCGGGGACACCGAGUGGGGCACCGGACGGGGACACCGAGCGGGACACCGAGCGGGGGCACCGAGCGGGGGCACCGAGUGGGGGCACCGAGCGGGAUACCGAGCGGGGGCACCGGGCGGGGACACCGGGCGGGGGGACCGAGCGGGGACACCGAGAGGGGACACCGAGGGGGGCACCGAGCGGGGAUACCGGGCGGGGGCACCGAGCGGGGACACCGAGCGGGGGCACCGGGCGGGGACACCGAGCGGGGACACCGAGGGGGACACCGGACGGGGACACCGAGCGGGACACGGGACGGGGACACCGAGCGGGGGCACCGAGCCGGGGCACCGGACCGGGACACCGGACCAGCCCCUCCCCCCCCCCCGUACCUGCCGUUCCCGCCGUUCCCACCGGGGGGGGGGGGGCGGGGGGGGCGGAGCGCGCGCGCCCACCGGAGCCGCGGCGGUUUCCAGGCGCCCCCCGGGGCGGGGCCGCCGCCGCCAUUUCGGUACAGGGCCAAACGAGGGGGGGCCUUGAAAAGGGUAGAGGGCGCUGAUUGGAUAAGCGGGGAAAGGGGCGGGGCUUAG